UACGAAGGGUGCAAGCGUUAAUCGGAAUUACUGGGCGUAAAGGGUGCGUAGGCGGUUGUUUAAGUCUGUCGUGAAAUCCCCGGGCUCAACCUGGGAAUGGCGAUGGAUACCGGGCAGCUAGAGUGUGUCAGAGGAUGGUGGAAUUCCCGGUGUAGCGGUGAAAUGCGUAGAGAUCGGGAGGAACAUCAGUGGCGAAGGCGGCCAUCUGGGACAACACUGACGCUGAAGCACGAAAGCGUAGGGAGCAAACAGG
rnacentral:rRNA from 1 species